UCCGUAGGGUGCAAGCGUUGUCCGGAAUUAUUGGGCGUAAAGAGCGUGUAGGCGGCCCGAUUAGUCCGCUGUGAAAGUCCAGGGCUCAACCCUGGAAUGCCGGUGGAUACUGUCGGGCUAGAGUCCGGAAGGGGCGAGUGGAAUUCCUGGUGUAGCGGUGAAAUGCGCAGAUAUCAGGAGGAACACCAAUGGCGAAGGCAGCUCGCUGGGACGUGACUGACGCUGAGACGCGAAAGCGUGGGGAGCAAACAGG
rnacentral:rRNA from 1 species